GAUGAACGCUGGCGGCGUGCUUAACACAUGCAAGUCGAACGGAAAGGCCCUUGCUUGCAGGGGUACUCGAGUGGCGAACGGGUGAGUAACACGUGGGUGAUCUGCCCUGCACUUCGGGAUAAGCCUGGGAAACUGGGUCUAAUACCGGAUAGGACCAUCGUUUAGUGUCGGCGGUGGAAAGUUUUUUCGGUGUGGGAUGAGCUCGCGGCCUAUCAGCUUGUUGGUGGGGUAAUGGCCUACCAAGGCGUCGACGGGUAGCCGGCCUGAGAGGGUGUACGGCCACAUUGGGACUGAGAUACGGCCCAGACUCCUACGGGAGGCAGCAGUGGGGAAUAUUGCACAAUGGGCGCAAGCCUGAUGCAGCGACGCCGCGUGGGGGAUGACGGCCUUCGGGUUGUAAACUCCUUUCGUCAGGGACGAAGCGAAAGUGACGGUACCUGGAUAAGAAGCACCGGCUAACUACGUG
rnacentral:rRNA from 1 species